UGGGAUGUACCUAAGCAUCUGCCAUCCACAUCAUACUGGGAGACUGCCGUGUCACAGUAGCCAUUGGAUCCUUUCAUGGCUUAGAAUCACAAGUUUGAAGUAAAAAAGAAAACAUCAAAUCCAUGUUACUUAAGAGUGGUAGGAUUCAAGAAGACUAUCAGAACACAUUCCCUGCCUCACAGGCAGAACUUCAACCCAAGUAGUCAUCUGUCUCUGGACCCUGCCUUCCCUGGGCUCCGUAUCAUUCCCCACACCUCCUUGGUUAUGGGGGACUCCAUAGGAGACUCGGGUCUACAGGACUAAUUUCAUUCCACCUCUCAUGUGUACAAAAACGAAAACAAAAUGCUUUAACAUCAUCAACAACAAAAGGAACACUGCUGUUCUGCAUCUAGGGGAGAAGCUUCUCAAAGGAAAAGACAUCAAAGUGUGGCCAUGAUUUAUGCACACGAGGUCUGAGCCUGACCCGGAGAGGCUGGGACACAGAAUCAUUGAACUUUUGCUGAACGAAGUAAUGGGAAGUUUGAGUUUUCUUCAGGGAAACAAAGAGACACCACAGGGGCUGCAUCGCUGGGAACAAACAGGGGUCUCUGGUGAGAGACACGAGAGUCAUGUGCAUGUGGCAGGAGGCCUGCAAAUGUCUGUUAUCGGGAGGAAAAUCCGGCCCUGCUAUUUCUCCAGCCUUCCCUUGUUCCCAGUCCGGCCCUGCCCCUUUAACAUUCAGGAAUGAGAGCGGAAGCAGAAGGCCCAGGUCCCCGCGGGUCCCGACGCCCGGAUUCCACAGCCUGUGAGGAUCCCUUGCGCCUAGAGGGGGACGAGGCCACUGGCACUACGUCGUGACUUCACCAACAGCCUGCAGUUCUCAUUAACGGGCUUUCGCCAGGCCCCUUGGCCUAACGCCAGGAUUCCCGGUGCCAGCCCUCAGCGCUCUGAGAUUAGACAACGCCCCACAGGCCGCGGCUCUCUGUUGACCAUCCGCAGCGCCGAGACCGGCCUACACAAGCCUGCGGCCGCUAGCUCUCCCACAAGGCCGAGCGCGGCCAAAGGGCAGCCCCGCCCCCGCCACCUCCUGCAGCUCUAUUGGCUAAUGCGCCUGCCACUCAGCCGCGCGCCCGACCUCGGCCUCGGGCCUGGAGGAGGGAUCCCAAAUCUCGGCUCGGCUCGGCUCCAGCUGCCUCGCUUCUCCUUGACGUUUACUGUGUUUGGCAUCUCUGUUCCAACGCCAGCAGCCGUUUCGCGACCCACGGCGGACUUGCAUAAACACUUUCUAGUUGGAAUCUCACCCUGCGAGGUGGGCAGGGUGGUGAUAUUCCUGUUUGACGCCGACAGAAAUAAGAGAGAUUGACUCUCAGAGUCUUGUGGCGGGAUUUUAAAGGGGGAUCUUAAUAGUGGCUCCAGACAGACCCGUGUUUUCUGCUUCUAGCAUUAACUACGUCAUUAGACACUUCUGAAUUAAUUUUGUCUGUGAAAUGGGGAAAAGAUAGCCACCUUGCAUAACUGGUGAAGAAUUCGUAAACUGACAGAAAAAUCUAGUAAGAGGAUUGGCCCGUGGUCGGCUCUUAGUGGUGUAUGUGGGGCUGUGAACAUUCCCAGGUCUUCUGACCUCUUGUCUGGGACUCUUUCUGCUAAACUAGCGAUUCUCAGAAGCCCAGAGACUUCGGAAGAUCCGGGGGCAUCUUCGAGGGGAUCCCUGAGUUCUAAACUGCCGAGGAACACUCAAGAGAGAGAAUAAAUAUUUCCACCAUAUUAUUACGGAUAAUAUAUAUGUUGUCAUCUAUUUGCCAAAGACUGUUGUAAGUGCUUGUAUACAUUAAGUCACUUAAUCUUCACGGUGAACACUAUGGUACAUCCUAUUAUAAUUCAUAUUUUACAGGCAAAUAAACAGAGGCACGGAGAUGUUAAAUACCUUUCCAGCUAAAAAGUGUGGGAGCUGUUUUACGUUCAUGCAAUCUAGCUGAUAAAGCCACACACAUUAGUGUUUGUACUAUAUAUUAUUGCGCAAGAGGUGUCUUUGAUAAUGAUUCUUGAGACACAAUUUACAAGAUGCCUCUGACUUUUAUUAAACUCUCAAAGGGCAGGAGAAGAAAAAAAGAAAAAUACAGAGGAACCUAAACCCUAAAUCAGAGACAGACUACAUGCAGAUGUACAAAUGGAAGAUUAGAAACCCAAGUUGUGGGUACCAUGUUUGGAAUUCCGUUUUAGCGGAAUGCUUUGGACUAUCACGUCCCUUGGUGGCUCCCUGGAGCUGCCCACUAAGGGAGAACGAUUGAAUGACAGGAUUGGAAUGGAAUGUAGCCAUCAUCUUAUCUGACCACACAGACACCUCCCAGCAGAUGAAUGCAUCACCUCCACAUGAUAAUUUUGAAGACUUUCUGAGAAAGUGAUAAUAUUAGCCUGUUACCUCACAAUCACAAGGAACAGUACAGUGACUACAAACCCUAUGUGCCUUAUUCAACAGAUGUCACAGAAUAAAGAAAAAGACUGGGAGAGAGAUGGGAGCUGAUAGACCAGACGAGACCAAAGACUUAAACUGAAGACUAAAUCAUGGGAAAUGGGAGCAAGGACUUAUUUGUUUAGAGGGUGAAAAGAGUGAAUUUGCCUACAGGGCAAAUCUGGAAGCAGCUCUCCCUGGGAGCCAGGUUAGAGCUCCUACUAAGGUGUCCUUGGCCUCUGCAGUGGUGGUGGCCUUGAACUACACAGCACACUUGGACACUCAGCUUCUGAAUGUCCAGAGCAGUCCUGAGUCUUGCCUGAGAAAAAUACUCAGGUGCUUGGGCUUCGCCUCUCCCUUCUGCCUUCUUUUCCUCCGCCUUUCCAGGUCAGCCUGGGGAAUAUGGGGUGUGAGGAGGGAGGUGAGUGGAGGCUGAGUUUUGACCAAUGUUAUAUGACAUUUGAACCUGACCGAUGGCAAAAGGAAGAUCCUUUGGGAGGCAGGCCUAUGUUCUCAUCCCUCUUCCUGCCCCUUUGGAUCAGAUAGCUGUCAAUCAUUGUCUCUGGGGCUGGUAAAGAACAGAGAGGGGCACCGGACAACAUCAGCCAAGUAAAAGUAGUGCUGGGGGUUGGGUCCCAAGUGAUCUGUCAACACAUCCUGAAAUGGUAUUUUGAGUGACCAGAGAAAAUGCAGGCUCCAUGAAGGAGAGAAGUCUAGGGUGAUUCCUGUGGAGAAAUAUUGGUUGUGAGAUUUAAGAGGUGAAAGUGACAUAGACAGGAAAUGAGGCAAGAGGCUGAGAGUCAGUGGCACCACUUGCUUUGGAAAUGGAGCAAAGGCUGUGAAGCUCACAAAAGCUUGGUCCUGGGGUGAGGUGUGGGGAAGGUUGGCCACAUAGGACAAGAGCAGGGCUGCAGAGUUAAAGUCCCAAGGACAAGCAAUGUGGCUGUCUUUCCAGAAAGAUUGGGACCUCACCAAACUACCAUCUCCCAAGCCCUUCCAUCCAACAACUGGAUAUUCUCUCUAUGGCAUGAAUAACAGUUAUUGUGCCACUUGGUAUACAAAGACAAUUAUUAUACAUUUGCUUUGUACUGGGCUUUUGCUAACUGGCUGUAAGUGCUAACCUUUCAUAAGUGACUCUAAAAAGAAUGAUUUCUGCACAGCUCUCUAAGCAUUUGUGGACCCAGUCAGGAAAGCGGAAAGAAGCAACAGGCUUAGCAGAUCAUUCUGAAUAGCUUUGGAAACAUAAGCCAGGGAGACCCAGAAUGAGUCAAAGAAGAGCCAUUGGAGGAUUUUAAACCAGGAACCAAAAAUAGAGUCUGAAAAUAGAGGUGCAGAGACUGGUCAACCGCAAUGAAGACCAAUCCAUUUGACCUCCAUCCUGGCUCAUCUCCUCUGUGUUCUCAUAGCAUCAUAUUACAGAAUGGAUCACAGACGCCUUUGCAGUUGCCUAUUUAUUUGUCCAUUUCUCCCUCCAGACUGCCUUUGUGAGAAAAACACCCAAAUGCCACAAGUGCAUCCUCAGGGAGCUGCAGGGUGGCAGGAGCCGAGGAUGCAAAAACAUAAUUGCCUUCUAUCUACUCUGAUUUGAGCUUCAUCAAAUCCUUUGGCUCCCAAGGUAUUCUGCAGCAGAUGUGUGCACAAUAUUCCAGCACUGGGACUUGUGUCUGCGGGUACUGCUGGGGGCCUAAGAGUCUGAGGGUCUGCAAAGCCUCCAAGCCCUUCCCCUUCCUCCCAGGCCUCAGGGCCUGUGCUGGCCACCCUCCUAUACAGCCCUUACUUGGCAUUCUUGCUAAGUUCUCUGGGGGCUCCAACCUUGACUCUUUUCAUUCCAUGAUGAUUUCUUCUGGGCUCUGCGCCUCGGGGGAGAACUUGCAAUGCUAGUAAUAAACAAAGAGCGCUCAUGAUUAAAAACAUGAAUUUUCCUGUCUUAGGAGAGAACAGCAGAGCUUAAGGGCUUUCAUAGGAUUCUGAACAGCCACCUGUCUUGUCCGGCCAUUGUCUACCCAUGCAUCCAUCCGUUCAGUAAAACUCUUUUGUGCUCACUGUGCUCAAAAAGCAGGAAGGUUUUGCCCCAAGGUAGUUCACAGCAGAGUGAAAUACAGACUAGAAACCAGAUAAGCACCAUGAGGCGAUUUGAAAAUAAAAGAUCAUUCUCCUCUACCAUAAACCAUGAGUCCUUAGGGAGACAUGGGUAUACACACACCCUCCCAGAUGACAAGGCAAUAGCUUAUACAUGGGAUUUCAGCUUCCCUGGAGGAGCUAAAUAAGUGAACCUACGAAUGCCAGUGUUUGGUCACAUAGAAGGCACUGAAAAACCUAUGGUGACCAAAAAGGCCAGUGGUUGCCCCACCCUCCAACACUCACCCCCCCACACACACUCUUCUCUGAUUUGACCAAGCCAUUCUAUUGCACCUCUCUGACACAAUAGGCUGUUUCAUACCUUUGCUAUCUUUAUGUUUGUCUUCCAGGGCCUGGUCUGCUUGGUGAGACCUCAGCAGCUUUGGAACCUGCUUUUCUAGAGACCUCUCCAGAAUCUCCUGGCCAGGUUCAACCUCUGCCAUUACUGUGCAUUGUCCAAAUCUUCCUUGCACUUAGCACCCUGGAGCAUGUAUGUGUGAUCUCAGGCCAGCCAGUGAAUGUGCACUUAGAAAGCUCACUCAUCCUUAAAUCCAUGAGGCCCAGAACAGAAACAAUCAGAUGUUCUGAAAAAAUAUCAGUGUUAACUACUCAAGUAUCUUCUUGUUAAAAUAUUCUUCUUAA